rnacentral:misc_RNA from 1 species
GAAAAAAGGUAGCAAUAACGGAGAAAUUUGAAUGUUUGGUUUUGGUUUUGCAAGAAGUGAUUGAAAUUUUACUCCAAAUUAAGCUCUAUAAAAAUUCAGAAAUUGGGUGGUUUUUUCAAAUCUAAGUUUGUUUCCUGAAACUCAAGGGAAAGAGAGGAAACGCUUUUCAAUGUGGCCCAAAUUGUUCGUAAUUUCUUUGGCACCAGGAGUGUAGUUGAACGUAUACUUUUACUCAGAUUCUGGAGUUUUUUCAUAAAUAUUAUUUUAGUUAUUGCUUCUUUGGUUCAUGACACAUGCAUGCCUAUUUGUUUUGGUGCCCCAAGUAAUUUUAUUGUCAUUUGGAUCAUUGAAAAUCGUAUGCAUUAGUCGACAAAUUAUCAAACUUCUAACCUUUUGUAUUGAAUUUAAC